UACAUAAUUCCUGUUUGCUGAAAUAAUAAUGAUUAAUCCUAAUUGGAUGCCUACAUUUUCAGAAAGAUGUGCCGGAUGGGGUGAAAGAGCUAUCAGAAGGUUCAGAAGAAAGCAGUGAUGGUCAGUCAGAUUCCCAGAGUUCUGAGAACAGCAGCAGCAGCAGUGAUGGUGGCAGCAACAAGGAGGGAAAAAAGAGCAGGUUCAAAAGGAAAGACCCUUCUAGAUUGUCACAGCCAUCCUCCCCCCAGUCAGGCUGUCCAUCUCCUUCCAUUCCAGCAGGUAAACUCAUUUCUCCAUCACAGAAGCACACCAAGAAGGCACUAAAGCAGGUAAUCUUGCCAGUCUGUGUCAGAACUAUAAUCUACUUUAAAAAUGUAUGUCCUAGUCAUUCAGAAUUUCUUGAAAGCUUCUACUGUAGGCCCUUUUAAGGAUAAAUUUUAUUUGGUUAUUUAACAGUAUGUGCUACUGGGUAUGAUAUCUGUGGUAUGUUUUUGGAAGAUAUUCUUUUAUCACAUUUUACAAGUUCCUAAUUUGCUAAGAAGUUUUUGUUUCUUUAAAAAUCGUGAAUAGCUGUUGAAUUUUUUCAAAUUUUCUCCCC
rnacentral:lncRNA from 1 species